rnacentral:rRNA from 1 species
AGCGAACAUUGGCGGUAGGCUUAACACAUGCAAGUCGAGCGAGGCGUAAUAGUCGAGCGGCGAACGGGUGCGUAAUACAUGGGAAUCUACCCUGAAGUGGGGGAUAACGUCCAGAAAUGGACGCUAAUACCGCAUAAUCCAUAUUGGGAAAGCGUUGCAGCGCUUUAGGAUGAGCCCAUGGCUGAUUAGCUAGUUGGUGAGGUAACGGCUCACCAAGGCGACGAUCAGUAGCUGGUCUGAGAGGAUGAUCAGCCACACUGGAACUGAGACACGGUCCAGACUCCUACGGGAGGCAGCAGUGGGGAAUCUUGCGCAAUGGGGGCAACCCUGACGCAGCCAUACCGCGUGAGUGAUGAAGGUCUUCGGAUUGUAAAGCUCUUUCGGCGGGGACGACGAUGACGGUACCCGCAAAAGAAGUCACGGCUAACUUCGUGCCAGCCGCCGCAGUAA